rnacentral:piRNA from 1 species
UACAACGUAAAUGCGCCACCCACCUUGAG